rnacentral:rRNA from 1 species
UACGUGAGGGUGCAAGCGUUAAUCGGAAUUACUGGGCGUAAAGCGUGCGCAGGCGGUUAUGUAAGACAGAUGUGAAAUGCCCGGGCUUAACCUGGGAACUGCAUUUGUGACUGCAUGGCUAGAGUUUGGCAGAGGGGGUAGAAUUCCACGUGUAGCAGUGAAAUGCGUAGAUAUGUGGAGGAACACCGAUGGCGAAGGCAGCCCCCUGGGUCAAGACUGACGCGAGGACGAAAGCUAGGG